AGCGAACGCUGGCGGCGUGCUUAACACAUGCAAGUCGAACGUGAACGGGAGCAAUCCUUAGUAAAGUGGCGCACGGGUGAAUAACGCGUAGGUAAUCUACCCCAAAAUCUGGAAUAACCUGCCGAAAGGCGGGCUAAUACUAGAUAGAGCGACGGAAUCCGUAAUUGGGUUUUUCGGGAAAGGGAGGCAGUAAUGCCCCUCGUUUUGGGAUGAGCCUGCGUCUCAUUAGCUAGUUGGUGGGGUAACGGCCCACCAAGGCUUUGAUGGGUAGCUGGUCUGAGAGGAUGAUCAGCCACACUGGAACUGAAACACGGUCCAGACUCCUACGGGAGGCUG
rnacentral:rRNA from 1 species